rnacentral:lncRNA from 1 species
AUGCUGUGGAUGUGUCUGCUCUUGGUUUUGCUGCAGAUUUUGUUUUAUGGAUGGACUUGGCUCUGUCCUUCGGGAAGAGAUGCAGCCCUCAGCAGCCUUCGUUCCCCAGGAUGGACAGAAAGAAAUGGUGGAGCUAUGUGUGAUUUUCUCAUCUCUCAGCUCACCCAGCAGUGUGAACAAAUUGCCUGGAAAUGUCGUCAUCGGGCUUCAUCUGGCACUAUCUCCCCUUCUGUCUGGGUCAUUGAUUUCCUCAUCUCCUCUGCCUUAAAACUCACAUCAUACAUUAAUUUGCGACUCUCCAGUGCUGAAGCAGCUGCACUGUGCCUUCCCUGCUCAACACCAGCAGCUUUCAGCCUCUGAAGUGUCCUUUACUGCUGCUCAUCUGAAGACCUCCUGAAUGUGUCUCAAGUGGCCUCCCUGCCUGCUACAUAACAGCAUGUGCUCUGCCAGCUUUUAUUUCAUCACAAGAGAGCUUAGAGCUGUUCUGCUCUCGGAAAUUGGGUAAGAUUCGGUCUCCUUCCUACAAUGACUCAGUGUGCUGGAGAAAUGACUCUUGCCUUGUGCGAGCAGCUAUCGCAGUGCACAGAGCUGUGCCAGCCUCUGCUAGCCACCAGCCCCCUCGGGAGCGCCCCUGAGCCAGCAAGGAGCCGGGGCUGCUCUGCACUCUGCUCUUAUGAUUGCUAAAUAUAGAGUCCAUUGAUAAAUAAAACAAAUCCAUGAAGGGUGCA